ACGGCGUGAUCAAGAGUGUCGG
rnacentral:siRNA from 1 species